rnacentral:rRNA from 1 species
CAGUAGCCACGGUAAUACGAAGGGUGCAAGCGUUAAUCGGAAUUACUGGGCGUAAAGCGUGCGUAGGCGGUGAGUUAAGUCUGUUGUGAAAUCCCCGGGCUCAACCUGGGAAUGGCAAUGGAUACUGGCAAGCUAGAGUGUGUCAGAGGAUGGUGGAAUUCCCGGUGUAGCGGUGAAAUGCGUAGAGAUCGGGAGGAACAUCAGUGGCGAAGGCGGCCAUCUGGGACAACACUGACGGUGAGGCACGAAAGCGUGGGGAGCAAACAGGAUUAGAUACCCCCGUAGUCCCUGUCUCUUAUAC